UACGAAGGUGGCUAGCGUUGCUCGGAAUUACUGGGCGUAAAGCGCACGUAGGCGGCUCUUUAAGUCGGAGGUGAAAUCCUGGAGCUCAACUCCAGAACUGCCUUCGAUACUGAAGAGCUCGAGUCCGGGAGAGGUGAGUGGAACUGCGAGUGUAGAGGUGAAAUUCGUAGAUAUUCGCAAGAACACCAGUGGCGAAGGCGGCUCACUGGCCCGGUACUGACGCUGAGGCACGAAAGCCAGGGGAGCGAACGGG
rnacentral:rRNA from 1 species